GGGGGCAACAGACUGAUAACGAUGUUUGUAACCGUCUGGCAAUGGGCUGCCCAGGGUUAGAAAAAGUUUGUUGCGAAGAGUAGUGGAGUGGAAUCGUGACCAUCACCUAGACAUGCCACGUGGAGUCUGUUGCGGGGAGCGGAGCGGCAUCCGUUGUCGUGACUUGCCAGAGGGUGGAGGAACCGUGCGGUAUCCGUCACAGAAAGUGGAGCAGGAUCGUGGCCAUUAUUAUGGUCUGCUAGGGAGUGAUGGAGCCGCACGAAAUCCGUUGCAGGA
rnacentral:lncRNA from 1 species